CUCUGGAAUCCUGUGUCGGAAAACUACAAGAACAAGAAAGUACGCGAGCAGGGAUACGUCGAGAUAAUAAAAACGCUGAAUCUAGUGGAUAUAACGGUUAAGGAACUGAAAAAUAAGAUAAAGAAUAUACGAUCGUCGUACAGCGUCGAGUUAAAGAAAAUUCGCGCGGCUAGAAAAGCGGGCGCGCAUGCGUACCGGCCGAGCGUCACGUGGUUCGAGCACGCAGACAGGUUUCUGCGGGCGAUCGUCACUCCGAGCUCCGUGGACAACAGCCUACUCGAAAUACCGAUGAGCGACGACAGCGACGCCGUUCAGGAUCUGAGCGAACGAAAAUCACCCGAAAAGAAAUGUCCUCGAAAACGUCGUAGUUCAACUAGAUCGUCGACUCCGUACGUUUU
rnacentral:misc_RNA from 1 species